UAGGGACGGGCGAGGAAGAAAAACAGAUAGCUGGGAAAAAAAGAAGAUCAACCAGAUAACACCUCCCCUGUUUUCUCUUCCCCACGAAGCAACCUCUGCCCCUCUCCUCGUUUCUCACCUCCGCCUCUUCCUCCGGGGGCGGCUGCAGAGGGAUGGGGGCCAAGGGGGCAAGCAGGAUGGGUGGCCGGUUGAUUUCUUUGCCGGAUCUCCCAGCUAGGGUUGCCGCCGCCGCCGCCCUCACCCGCGCUCGUGCCCUCUUCAACUCCGGCUGCGAGCUCCACCCCCUCCAGCGGUCCAGCCUUCGGAGCACACGGGUGCGGAUCAAAGGCAGUGGUGGACGGGCUUGUGAAGGAGCUGCAGGAGGCGCUGGACGCGGACAUCCAGGCCGCAUCAUGAAGGAGCGGGAGAUGCAGAGCUACAUCAGGACCGCGAGCGCGAGGUCGCCGGGUUAGUCCUCGUCAAUUUGGAAUCUACAGGACUUUCCACAAGUUCUGCUGUUAAGUACCACCAUAAUCAGUGGCUGCGUUCAUGGGCAUAUUCACCGGCGCGGCGUACCGCUAUAGCUGACAGAAAGUGUGCUUUCUCAGCAUGAAGAUAAUAGAAUGGGAAGGUAUGAUCUUCAUGGGCCUUAGUGGUACUAUCAUAUUAUGACAACUGCUGCAAAGUUCAUAUAAUGAUCCUUGUUUCAGACUCAGAUCAAAGGAACAAGCUGAUCAAUAGGUUUCAGCCAUGGCUAUCCUCUCUUGCAAUUUUGUGAUGUCAGGUUUUAGCCACAUUUUUUUCGAUUAUUUUCUCAGAAUUCUCAUAAGCAUCCUCCUUGAAUAUGUAGGAAUAUUGCGUCAAGAAGAACGAUCGGGUAGAGCUUAUCACGGCAAGCUACAGGUCGUACCUAGCAGACAAGCAUUGUCUCAUGAAAGUUUACUUUUUGUAGAUGUACAAAUUGAUGUAGAAAAGGUGAAUUUAAUUUCAUCUAUACAUGACCAAUUGCUUGCUGUACAUUUGACUAAAUAAAGCAAUAAAUCAGACCAUAAGUAAAGUACUUAAUAAUUAAGUGGAUAGUGUAUGUCUGGUGAACCUAGAUAUAUGUAUGGACAAUAAAGAGACAAGGUAUUUCAAAAUUUAUUUUCAUGCUUAUAUACACAACAACUGUAGCAUAAAUACGGUUGAAGCUUUACUGCAAUAUUAAGCUGUAACAUAUAUGUGUGGUGAAUCAAGAUUGAGCACCUCAUUAUUUUUCUUAGAUUAGGACGAUACAAUUUUUUUAAUCCAUUGAGUUCCUUGUAUUGCAUAUUGUAAAAAUUAUUUUUCAUGCAUAUAUAUACGACAACUGCAGUGUAAAUACGGUUGAAGCUAUGUGCUGUCAUAUUAAAUUCUAACAUAUAUGUGUGGUAAAUAUAGAUUGAGCAUCCCAUUCAUUUGCGGGAUACGUUUUCCUUAGUCCAUUGAGUUACCUCUAUUGCAUAUUUUAAAAAUGGCUUCUUUACUCGGCUAGAUCAUUUGAACAUGCCAAGUCCAGUGAUGGUAGCUUUACUCAGUCUGAAUAUUGCUAUAGCUUAGUAGGUUCUUCCAAGAAUUUCUUUUGUGUUGCCUCUCUUUCCAGACACGCACGCACGCGCGCGCGCGUUCCGUGGUUAAUUUUGUAGAGGGUAAAAAGUUGAGGACUUAUUGUUAUGUCUAAUUGUUGACGGAAGUGCUCGAUUGUCUUGUAAGCUAGAAUUCUUAUGGUUUCUUUCUUACUGGGCUUGUUUUGUUUUAUUUUCCGAAAACCCCGUGAUUUUAUCGUAAUCCCAAAUUGCCGAGGUGGAUAAGAAUAAGGAGAAUCCAAGCCUAAUUCUUAUAUAGUUGUAAUGCACCAUAUAUACAUUGAAGUAGUAUUUAUGUAUUUCCUGAUGAAUCCAUGUAUUAUCACACUCUGAAAACCAUAAAUAUUUGAUGCAGCAAAUAUGUAGUUCCCCCAGGUGGCCUGACAUAGCUCAGUUUAUAAUGAAAGUCAUCGAACAGAAGAACCAGUCCUCUCUCUCUCUCUCUCUCUCUCCAACAAAUGACCUACUUUUUUUGGUUAAUCAGUCUGAAUUUUUUUGUACAAUCAUUCCUCAUAGGAGGUAGCAAGCAUGUCAUAACGCAUUCUGAUGCUUCCGGGCCAAAGUUAAUGGGCUUUACAGAUUUCUUUCCUCACUUUCGUCUGUCGAGCAGUUCAAGGUACCACCUAUGUAUCUCACAUAUUUGUGUAUUCUAUCUUUAGUAGAGCUGUUGCGUUGGUCUGCUUGUAACAUUCAGUCUUUGAUCACUACCACCUAUGUAUCUCACAUAUUUAUGCCUUCUAUCUUCAGUAGAGCUGCUGAGUUGGUCUGCUUGUAACAUUCAGUCUUUCAUCCCUGUGUUUUAAUAGUUCAAAUUGACAUCUGGAAUCAUUACCAAAAGAUGAAUGACUAAAAGUUGAUCAAUCUCAGCGAGACACUUGAGGAAGAUCAACUUAUGAUGGAUCAAGAAGUAUUGUGUUUCUGAUCAUGCACUAUUCUCUUUUCUGAAACAUUGAAGGUUCCUGUUAUGUUUAUCAACAUCAUGGCUCCUGUUCAUUUGCUGUGUUGACUUGCAUCUCUUUUCUCAGUCCAAUGGUUUGUUGUUGCAUGCCACCUGUCUGUAGAUGAAUAUACAUUUCUGCACAUUCAUUAUGCUAUGAUAUGGACAUAUGAUUUGAUAGUACUUGUAUUAAGAUGUGAGAUGAAUAUCCAUUGUGAGUUUA